UACGUAGGGGGCUAGCGUUGUCCGGAUUUAUUGGGCGUAAAGAGCGCGUAGGCGGCCGAGUAAGUCCGACGUGAAAUCUGGAGGCUCAACCUCCAGCGGUCGUUGGAAACUACUCGGCUAGAGUCCGGAAGAGGAGAGUGGAAUUCCUGGUGUAGCGGUGAAAUGCGCAGAUAUCAGGAAGAACACCGAUGGCGAAAGCAGCUCUCUGGGCAGUAACUGACGCUGAGGAGCGAAAGCGUGGGGAGCGAACAGG
rnacentral:rRNA from 1 species